CCCAACGGCUGAGUUGCAACACAAUCGAAUUGCGGGGAAGUCCUAAAGCCUCAGGGUACUAACCUGCUGUAGGAAUGCAGCAGGGGCCUGUGUUAAUCGCACAGGGUAUAGUAACAACCCCGGAGGAUCUAGCCAGGUGUGCUAGAAUGGACGAUCCGCAGCGAAGCCCCUAGACCAGGGGAACGUUCACAGACUAAGUGGUUGUGGGUAGGAGGGACUCCUGCUUAAGAUAUAGUCGGGCCGGCGCGGAAACGCGCUGGGGAUUCGCAAGAACGUAAACCGCUCCGUAGGUGAACCUGCGGAGGGAUC
rnacentral:ncRNA from 1 species